CAAAAAGAAAUAUUUCUGGAAGAGCAACAGAUCUCUACUAGUGCAGAAAUAUCCCACUCUUGCUGCUCAGGAUGCAAACAGCACCUCAUUUGCAUGUCUGUAGUUUGAAUGUAAAUGGUCUAAGAUAAGUCAUUGUCAGACCCCUGUAAAUAUUGAUGACUGCUCCAGGACUUGGUUUGUAACCAUUUCUUUCUCUUCCGUCACAAUCUGAGUGUGACAUAUUAGCAGAGAUGGGGAUGCAGCUUCUGUGAGGGAAAAGAGGCUUUGCUUAGUGGGUGACAGCAAAAGAAAAGAAGGAAGUUAAGGAGGAAAAUUUCUAGAUGAAUAAUGAAUUGAGCCAGGUUGGAGACUGGUGAAUCUUAAUUAGAAAUCUGACAUAUCAUCAGCCUCCUGCCUUUAUGCUUGCUGCACUCAAAGGGAUGCUCAGUACCAGCUGCAUGUCCCUGUGUUCCCACCUCUUGGUGACUGCAAUGCCAGUGAGGGAGCCUCUUGUUAGACCAGUUUCAAUACUCCUAUCUGAGGUGUCUUGGUGAAGUGCCUGAAGUUACAAAGGAGGGAGAGUGAACAUCAGUCUGCAUCUGCUCUCUCCUGCAGAGUUGUCAUCAGUCAUCUUGUCUGGACUAGCAGGUGAGGGACAGCAUGAUCCAAAGAGCAGCCCCAGAACAACAAGACAGAUGGAUGUAUCCAAUGGAUAUGCCUGAAAAUCGAACAGAGAAGCAGAGAGCCAGGAACCUACACCAAGUAAUCUCCUGACAUUGGAGAGCCCGGACACAGGACACAGCCUCACAACAAACUUGAUUUCAUCAGCUCAGGAUUGAGUUGGUAGUGACUGUGAAUGGGGGUGCUCCAGGUCUGUGUGGCUGGCCUGGCCCAGGGCCCUUUCCUUGUGCAGCGCUGCCUACAACUGCUUCAGAAAAUGUGUGGGAAAGUGCUGUUCCCAGGUCUUCACAUCAGAAGUUUAACAAGGUCACUCCUUGUGUCCGGGGCAAAGGAGCCACCUCACCCUCCUCUCUAUCACAUGGUCUGGGAGCCAGCCCUAGAUGGUGUGAUAGACGUCACAGAAUGUGCUUUUCAGAAGCAAUGAAGCAACUGCUCCUGAUAUAAAUGGAAAGAGUCUCUAAUGGGCUGUUACCCCACCACCACCCAGAGAGGGAAGUGCCUGCGGUCCCCAAAAAGGGCAGCCCAAAGGAACUGCACAAAGCUGGCAGAGGGAUCCAGUUUUGAAGUGUCUGAACUAUAGAGGACAUCCCACAUGCAAUGCUGGGGACCACAGCAAGUCACCAGGUACAGGGCAGGAUGAGACAAGUACUUCUGCCUUCAACUCUUCCUCAGGAUUCCACAAGUUCAUGUCUGGCUCUACAAUCAGAUUUUCAAAGUCCACAUGACCAAUUUCAGGUUUUGAGAAGUUGCUUUCUUCAGUGUUUCAGGAAAACACUCCCUCCCUC